CAGGAUGAACGCUAGCGGCAGGCCUAAUACAUGCAAGUCGAACGAGAUUAUCCAGCUUGCUGGAUUUGAAAGUGGCGCACGGGUGCGUAACGCGUAUGCAACCUACCUUAAUCAGGGGGAUAGCCCGGAGAAAUCCGGAUUAACACCGCAUAAAAACACAGGAUAGCAUUAUCCAAUGUUCAAAUAUUUAUAGGAUUAAGAUGGGCAUGCGUGUCAUUAGCUAGUUGGCGGGGUAACGGCCCACCAAGGCGACGAUGACUAGGGGAUCUGAGAGGAUGACCCCCCACACUGGUACUGAGACACGGACCAGACUCCUACGGGAGGCAGCAGUAAGGAAUAUUGGUCAAUGGAGGCAACUCUGAACCAGCCAUGCCGCGUGCAGGAAGACUGCCCUAUGGGUUGUAAACUGCUUUUAUCCGGGAAUAAACCUCUUUACGAGUAGAGAGCUGAAUGUACCGGAAGAAUAAGGAUCGGCUAACUCCGUGCCAGCAGCCGCGGUAAUACGGAGGAUCCAAGCGUUAUCCGGAUUUAUUGGGUUUAAAGGGUGCGUAGGCGGCCUGUUAAGUCAGGGGUGAAAGACGGUAGCUCAACUAUCGCAGUGCCCUUGAUACUGAUGGGCUUGAAUGGACUAGAGGUAGGCGGAAUGAGACAAGUAGCGGUGAAAUGCAUAGAUAUGUCUCAGAACACCGAUUGCGAAGGCAGCUUACUAUGGUUUAAUUGACGCUGAGGCACGAAAGCGUGGGGAUCAAACAGGAUUAGAUACCCUGGUAGUCCACGCCCUAAACGAUGAACACUCGCUGUUGGCGAUACACAGUCAGCGGCUAAGCGAAAGCGUUAAG
rnacentral:rRNA from 1 species